ensembl:snoRNA small nucleolar RNA snR60/Z15/Z230/Z193/J17
CCAAUGCUGUGAUGAUUGCAUAGUUCAGCAGAUAACUGUGAAGAAACAACAGCAAAGUCUUUCGCUCCUAUCUGAUGCAAUGG